GAUGAACGCUGGCGGCGUGCCUAAUACAUGCAAGUCGAGCGAACAGACGAGGAGCUUGCUCCUCUGACGUUAGCGGCGGACGGGUGAGUAACACGUGGAUAACCUACCUAUAAGACUGGGAUAACUUCGGGAAACCGGAGCUAAUACCGGAUAAUAUACUGAACCGCAUGGUUCAAUAGUGAAAGACGGUUUUGCUGUCACUUAUAGAUGGAUCCGCGCCGCAUUAGCUAGUUGGUAAGGUAACGGCUUACCAGGGCGACGAUGCGUAGCCGACCUGAGAGGGUGAUCGGCCACACUGGAACUGAGACACGGUCCAGACUCCUACGGGAGGCAGCAGUAGGGAAUCUUCCGCAAUGGGCGAAAGCCUGACGGAGCAACGCCGCGUGAGUGAUGAAGGUCUUCGGAUCGUAAAACUCUGUUAUUAGGGAAGAACAAAUGUGUAAGUAACUAUGCACGUCUUGACGGUACCUAAUCAGAAAGCCACGGCUAACUACGUG
rnacentral:rRNA from 1 species